GUUAAAUUUACUUUUUNNNNGUAAAAAUAUAUUAUUUAUUUAAAAAAUCAUUUUUUUUGUUUUUGUAUUUGUUAAAGAUUUAAUUUUAUUUGGUGAUAAAUUAUUUGUACUGUGAGGGUUAAUUGAAAUAGAUAUAUUUAUUAAUUAAGUUGAUUUUAUUUAUUGUACCUUGUGUAUCAGGAUUAAUUAAAUGAUUAUCAUAAAUUUUGAUGCUCUCGAUUUUAUAAGAGUUAAUUUAUUAUUUUAGUUAUUAUUUUAUAAAUAUUAAUAAUAAUAAAUUAGUAGUGAUAUAUUAAUCGUUUAUAAGGGUAUCUAGUUUUUUGGGAAAUAAAUUUAAUUUACAUUUUUUCUUUAAUUUUUAUUUCUUUUUAAUAUAAUUUAAGUUUAAAUGAAUAAUAAGGGGGAUAAGCUCUUUAUUAAAUUUCUAUAAAUAGAUUUUUAGUUAAAUAAGUUCUGUGGAUUUAGUGAUGAUUAACAUUAUGAGUGUGUUAAAAUAUUAUUUAUUUAUUAUUUAAUUUUGAUAUUUUUAGGUUUAUACCAAAAAGUUUUAAUAAAUUUUUAUUUAAUUUUAAUUAUGAUUAAAUUAGUAUAUUAAUAUAUUUAUAUAAUUAUUUAUUUUAAAAUAAAUUUGAGGAAUUAGGCAAGGUAAAUUAUUCGCCUGUUUAACAAAAACAUCUUUUCUUGUGUUUGAAUAUGAAAUAUAACCUGCUCAAUGAAUUUUAAAUAGCCGCGGUAUAUUGACCGUGCAAAGGUAGCAUAAUCAUUAGUCUUUUAAUUGUAGGCUGGAAUGAAUGGUUGGACGAGAUAAUAACUUUCUUAAAUUUAUUAAUUUGAAUUUAAUUAUUGUGUUAAAAAGCACAAAUUUAUUUUUGGGACGAGAAGACCCUAUAGAGUUUAAUAAUUAAUAUAUUUUUUAAUAUUUGAUGUUUUAUUAAUUAUAUAAUAUUAUUUUGUUGGGGUGAUGUAAAGAUAUGAUGAACUCUUUUUAUUUAUUAUUUAUAACUUAAUAUUUAUUUGAUCCAUUUUUAAUGAUUGAAAGAUUAAAUUACCUUAGGGAUAACAGCGUAAUCUUUUUUGAGAGUUCUUAUUGACAAUAAGGGUUGCGACCUCGAUGUUGGAUUAAGAUUAUUCUUAGGUGCAAAAGCUUAAGGUUUAGGUCUGUUCGACCUUUAAAUUCUUACAUGAUCUGAGUUCAAACCGGCGUGAGCCAGGUUGGUUUCUAUCUAUUAAUAAGUUUAUUAUUUUAGUACGAAAGGACCAAAUAAUAGAAAUAAUUUUUGUUAAUUGAAUAAUAAUAAUAUUUAACUAUUUUGGCAGAUAAGUGCAA
rnacentral:rRNA from 1 species